GUCUACGCCCAUACCACCCUGAAUGCACCUGAUCUCAUCUGAUUUCGGAAGCUAGGCAGGGUCAGGCCUGGUUAGUACUUGGAUGGGAG
rnacentral:rRNA from 1 species